GCGGGACAGCGCGAGAGGACGCGAGUGCGCUACUUCCUAAGCACCGGGUCAGCUCAGUCCUUGAGCGCCGUCGCGUUCCGUCCCCUGCGUCUGUCCAGCCAUGACAGGGCAGGUGUGAAGACAAGACGUACCUGCAAAGGACGGCCAGCUGACGAGAAGGAAUAGCUGUGUGACAGAGGGUGUCACAGUCCUGCCAUCAGCUUUAGCCUGUCCACCUAGAUCUUCUUGUUUUGCUAGAAAAUAAAACUCCUACUUUUUAAGCCA
rnacentral:lncRNA from 1 species